rnacentral:tRNA from 1 species
GGAUUGUAGCUCAGUGGUAGAGUGCUCACCUUGCAUGUGGAAGGCACUGGGUUUGAUUCUCAGCACCA